rnacentral:rRNA from 1 species
CCAGGUUUGGCACCUCGAUGUCGGCUCAUCGCAUCCUCCCGCUGGAGCAGGUGGGAAGGGUUGGGCUGUUCGCCCAUUAAAGCGGUACGUGAGCUGGGUUCAGUACGUCGUGAGACAGUACGGUCUCUAUCUACCAUGCGCGUUAGGAAACUUGAGAGGAGCUGUCCAUAGUACGAGAGGACCUGGAUGGAGGAACCUCCUGUAUACCAGUUGUCCCGCCAGGGGCAUCGCUGGGUAGCGGAGUUCCGUAGGGAUAAACGCUGAAAGCAUAUAAGCGUGAAACCCGCCUCAAGAUAAGGUUUCCCGGGUCGCAAGACCCCUGAAGGGCACCGGAAGACGACCGGUUUGAUAGGGUGCGCGUGUAAGUGCCGCAAGGCAUUAAGCUAAGCACUACUAAUCGCCCGUGAGGCUUGGCCGU